UACGUUCCCGGGCUUGUACACACCGCCCGUCACACCACGAAAGUCGGCAAUACCCGAAGCCGGUGGCCUAACCCGUAAGGGAGGGAGCCGUCGAAGGUAGGGUCGAUGAUUGGGGUG
rnacentral:rRNA from 1 species